UUAAAAAAAAAAUAGUAAAAAUAUAAAUCCAAAUUAACGUUUAGUAUUGAGGUCCUCAGUCGUUGGGUGGAUUGGGACGCUUCCCCGGGUUGAUGUAUGGGGCAGGCGGUGGGCUGCGAGUUGGUGUGCGCAUAGCUGCUUUUCCUUCCUUCAGGCCUGCACCCAAUUCACCAUGCAUGCAUUUUGUAUCAUCAUACGUUAACCAUAACACACAUAUAAAUAUAUCUACUUAAUUUUUUUCUUUUCUAAAGUUCAUUAAUUUUCUUCUUAAUAUUAAUAUUAUUUAAUUUAAAUAAUACCAUAUUAUUAUUAUUACAAAAUUAACUAUUUGAAUUUGAGCUUUAUCCUUCAUUUAUUUUUUAACAUAAUUUAAGUAAGAUAAUAAUAUGUUCUAAGAGUAUUAAUAAAAUAAUUAAAGAAAAUGUGAUUCACAGGCUACUCUACAUCCGACGCCUAGGUUUAGUGGGCCAAGGCCCAUUUUAUUAGAAGUCGGGUCAAUGGGGGCAUUUUUGUAAUUUAACAAUAUGACUAAUUUUUAAAGCUUGAUUUUCCAUUUGAGUUGACCAAAAGGAAGAAUGAAUUUUCAAUUUUCAUUAUUCAAAUAUAAAAUAUGAAUUAAAUAAAUAAAAAAAAUCCACUGAAGUUUAAGAUGCAUAACAAUUUAACAUAAAUUUAAUUUAAAUAAUAAAAUUUAAAGUAAGUUAUGCUAGAAUUUUGAAAAUAUAAGUACGUGUGACUUGAACAUAUAUAUAGUCGUGAAUUAAGACAUAUAAUAUAAGAUAUAUAAUAAAUGGGUGUUUAAUCUUGAGUUGGUGGAGGACUACUUAAAAUAGGAGGUCUCUCAGGUGGGAUAUGAUGCUUUUUCCGGUUGGUGGAUGGAGGAGGUGGUGGGCUGAGCAUUGGUCGCCGCAAAACCACUACUUUUCCUUGCUCCACGCCUGCAAUUCCCCAUUAUUAUACAUACAUACAUACAUGCAUACAUAUAUAUACAUAUAUUUACCAGCAAUUUAUUCCAAAUACCAAUUGCUUUUAAUAUAAUUUGAUUAUCUGGGUGUAUGAGCAUAUUGUCAUUUUCCUAUGUAUUGCCGAUUUCUACGUGGAUAAUAUCAACUUAGUUUACGUAAAUUUGUCAAAAUUGGAACCUUUUUAAUAAUGGGUUAUUACUCUAUGUGUGUGUAUAUAUAUAUAUAUAUAUAUAUAUAUACACUGAAAUAUAUAUCUACAUAGGUGGGAACCAACUAAAAGACAUUUGGGGACAGCAUAGGAUCCAAAUUAUGCAAAUAAGACCAGUUAGUGAUCACAUCAUUAAUUGUGCAAAUUGUUUCUUGUCAAAUUUUUCUUUCAAAAAAUCCACUUUUACUUUUGCUGUCUAAUAUUUCAUGAUAGUCAAUAUGAUCAUCUUAUUCUUCACCAGAUCAAUCAAAUCUGAACUUGGACUCAUGUGAGACAACAAAAUCUAAAACAUAUAUAUACACAUACAUAUAUAUAUAUAUAUACAUAAGAAGCAAUAAUUAUACCAGAGAUCAAAAAAGAAGAAGAAAAUUGAAUUAAGUUAAACGUACCUAAAUCUGCACAAACCCCAUAUGUGUGCAAGGUUAAGAUGGCGGCAGGGAUGAGAAUGAUGAUAAUAAGAAGAGAACGAAAGGAACAUAGUGAAAGACCCAUUUGAUUAAUGUAUGUAUAUGUUUGUGUAUGUCUGUGUGUGUGUAUAUA
rnacentral:lncRNA from 1 species